AGAGCGAACGCUGGCGGCAGGCCUAAUACAUGCAAGUCGAACGCACCUUCGGGUGAGUGGCGGACGGGUGAGUAACACGUGGGAACGUGCCUUUUGGUUCGGAAUAAUCCGGGGAAACCUGGCCUAAUACCGGAUGUGCCCUUCGGGGGAAAGAUUUAUCGCCAUUAGAGCGGCCCGCGUCUGAUUAGCUAGUUGGUGAGGUAACGGCCCACCAAGGCGACGAUCAGUAGCUGGUCUGAGAGGAUGAUCAGCCACACUGGGACUGAGACACGGCCCAGACUCCUACGGGAGGCAGCAGUAGGGAAUCUUGCGCAAUGGGCGAAAGCCUGACGCAGCCAUGCCGCGUGAAUGAUGAAGGUCUUAGGAUUGUAAAAUUCUUUCAGCGGGAAGAUAAUGACUGUACCCGCAGAAGAAGCUCCGGCUAACUUCGCGCCAGCAGCCGC
rnacentral:rRNA from 1 species